GUAGGAGGCGAGCGUUGUCCGGAUUUACUGGGCGUAAAGCGCGCGCAGGCGGCACUUCAAGUAAGGUGUGAAAUCUCCCUGCUCAACGGGGAGGGUGCACUUUAGACUGAGGAGCUAGAGGACGGUAGAGGGGGGUGGAAUUGCUGGUGUAGCGGUGAAAUGCGUAGAGAUCAGCAGGAACACCCGUGGCGAAGGCGGCCCCCUGGGCCGUACCUGACGCUGAGGCGCGAAGGCUAGGGGAGCGAACGGGAUUAGAUACCCCGGUAGUCCUAGCAGUAAACGAUGGCCACUAGGUGUGGGGGGUGUUGACCCCUUCCGUGCCGAAGCCAACGCAUUAAGUGGCCCGCCUGGGGAGUACGGUCGCAAGACUAAA
rnacentral:rRNA from 1 species